AGAGUUUGAUCCUGGCUCAGGAUGAACGCUAGCGGCAAGCUUAACACAUGCAAGUCGAACGGUAACUCUUGGUGCUUGCACCAAAAGACGAGUGGCGGACGGGUGCGUAACGCGUAUGCAAUCUACCUUUUACUAGGGUAUAGCCCAGAGAAAUUUGGAUUAAUCCCCUAUAAUAUCAUAAAAUCGCAUGGUUUUAUGAUUAAAGCUUCGGUGGUAAAAGAUGAGCAUGCGUCCUAUUAGUUUGUAGGUGAGGUAACGGCUCACCUAGACUACGAUAGGUAGGGGCCCUGAGAGGGGGAUCCCCCACACUGGUACUGAGACACGGACCAGACUCCUACGGGAGGCAGCAGUGAGGAAUAUUGGACAAUGGACGAAAGUCUGAUCCAGCUAUGCCGCGUGCAGGAUGACAGCCCUACGGGUUGUAAACUGCUUUUAUACAGGAAGAAAAACCCCGACGUGUCGGGGCUUGACGGUACUGUAAGAAUAAGGAUCGGCUAACUCCGUGCCAGCAGCCGCGGUAAUACGGAGGAUCCAAGCGUUAUCCGGAAUUAUUGGGUUUAAAGGGUCCGCAGGCGGUUUUUUAAGUCAGAGGUGAAAUCCUACAGCUCAACUGUAGAAUUGCCUUUGAAACUGAAAGACUUGAGUUAUUGUGAAGUGGUUAGAAUGUGUGGUGUAGCGGUGAAAUGCAUAGAUAUCACACAGAAUACCAAUUGCGAAGGCAGAUCACUAACAAUCAACUGACGCUCAGGGACGAAAGCGUGGGUAGCGAACAGGAUUAGAUACCCUGGUAGUCCACGCCGUAAACGAUGGAUACUAGCUGUAUGUCUACCUCAGGUAGAUGUGUGGCCAAGCGAAAGUGAUAAGUAU
rnacentral:rRNA from 1 species